rnacentral:rRNA from 1 species
AACGAACGCUGGCGGCAUGCCUAACACUUGCAAGUCGAACGAGAUCUUCGGGUCUAGUGGCGCACGGGUGCGUAACGCGUGGGAAUCUGCCCUUUGGUUCGGAAUAACAGUUGGAAACGACUGCUAAUACCGGAUGAUGACGAAAGUCCAAAGAUUUAUCGCCAGAGGAUGAGCCCGCGUAGGAUUAGCUAGUUGGUGUGGUAAAGGCGCACCAAGGCGACGAUCCUUAGCUGGUCUGAGAGGAUGAUCAGCCACACUGGGAAUGAGACACGGCCCAGACUCCUACGGGAGGCAGCAGUGGGGAAUAUUGGACAAUGGGCGAAAGCCUGAUCCAGCAAUGCCGCGUGAGUGAUGAAGGCCUUAGGGUUGUAAAGCUCUUUUACCCGGGAUGAUAAUGACAGUACCGGGAGAAUAAGCUCCGGCUAACUCCGUGCCAGCAGCCGCAGUAA